UUGGCCAGCGGCGGGUCCGACUUGGAGCCAGGGAAGCUUCUAGCAGCUUCUCACAGAGGCCACCCCUGCGGCCCCCUCCCCCACUACCAAAAAACUCCACGCCACACAAACCCAUGACACCAAAUAAUCUUAC